AAGAUAUGGUAGUGUUCUAGUGGCUGGGCGAACACUGAAGGAAAGCACAGAUGGGGGAAUUUAUUCCUCUGUAAUGUGGCCCAAAUCUAAUCCUCAUUUCUUCACAACUGUUCCUUUCCUCUCCUGUGUUUUUGUCUAUUGGUGCCUUUAUAUUUUAUUCCCCGAGGUUAUAUCUCUCCGCUUUCAACUGUGCCUCGUUUUUGUUUGUUUUCUUUGUUCCUAUAUUUUAAAGUCAAUUUUUCAUGUCUGCUUCUAUGUGUUGGUAUGUUUUCAUGUUUUGGUUCCUUUAUUUUCUUAUAUUUUCCUUCCUCUCGCUCUCUCUAUGUUACACUUUGAGUCAUAUACUAUGUUUGUUGCAUUUCUUUCUCUCGAAAAUUGUCAUCUUGCUCUAGUUAGUUUCAUUCUUCUUUUCAAGUUAUUUAACAUGUUUGCUUUUGUUUGACAACAAUCGCUCCCGCUGUACACGACAGUUGCGCUUGGCCGAUACCAAUGGUAUAUACUCACCUGUGGAGUUUUGCGCAAUGCAGUAAUGCUUAGAAAGCUUCACUGUGAAGGUGAUAAAGACAUCAUGUGCUGGUUCAUGAAAUAGACUUUUUGCAAGUGAACUUCAAUUUCCGACAGUAUAAACAGCCUCUUUGUUACAAUAGCUUGGCAGACAUGCUUACCUUCAAGAAACAGUGUACAUAACUCUUUGCGCAACUAAUCAUUGCGUCAGCUGUGAUGUCGUGCACAUGUAGGUGGACGGUCCAAAACACUAGGUGGGUAGCAUUUCUGGAACCCUCGGCUGCAGGGUUCCCUCAAUCAUGUAGUGGUUUUGCAAUGUUUAAGCCCCUACCAAUAGUUAAGUUUAGAUGGCAUGCGAUUCAUUUUGUUGCCCAAUAUUCAGAUUUCUAGGGUGCUGCAGCCGAAAUGAUCUGGGCAAAGAAAAUAAAGCGAUACAGUAUGCACAAUACAUUCUUACAGCAAGGGUUUUGUUUUCAGGUGUCCUUGUUGAGAAACGAUUUAAGAACCUGCGUGAUAUCUUCAAAAGGAAACAACACGACAUACGUGAAAAAACGAAGAAGUGGAGCCGGAGCAGCCGACAUUCCAACAAUAAAAUGGCCCCAUUUUGAGGCCAUGCUUGAAUUAAUGGAAGGAGAGUCUGAGCCUGUGGCCAGCCACAUCACAGCAGAAGAGGCUAACGAGAGAUCACCGCCUCGGCCAAGACAUGCAGCGGAACCGAAACGUUCCCCUGAUACGGCUGAGGAGACUUGUGUCGACACCUGCAGCAAUGAGUAAAACCUUUAUGAAUCCACCUAAGUAAUGAUAAAUGAAGGGCAUGCAUAGAUAGCGAAUCUAUUAAAUCUUAAAAGCAUGUUUUGUAACCUUCUUCAUGUUCUAGCACAUUUGGAGAAUGUGCCUAAUGUUUUCACACCAGAUUCUGCUACAUGCAAUUGCAACACUUUAUAAGUUGUAUAAUAAUACUGCCUCCUUCUGCGGUGAUGCUUCAGCAACCACCUCAAGAGAGCAGCCACCAUCAAAACGGUCACGCUCGUCAAGACGACAACGGACCUGCGAGGGCGCUAGCAAUGCAGGAGAGGGCACAAGCCAUGAAGCUGUGGCGCAAGCGUGCAUGGAGCACCUUGAACACAUCAGAGCGAACAAGGGGGUCAUCAAAAAAGAUAACAUUGGUUUCUUCGCUCUACGUACCGAUGCACGCCUCAGAGAGCUACCAGUGCACAUUGCACAAGAUGUAAUGCAUGCAGUAGAACUUAUGCUGUAUGAAGCAGAGGCAAAAUUGCGUCAGAGCAGUGAAGCAAAUUGAAGUGUUUAUAUAUAUAAAGUCAAUGACACCCACCUUUUUUUAUCUUGUGUUCACUUUUCUAGUCCUAACUUAAAGGGGUCAUGACUGGUCACUCAACAAUUGACGGUUGUCAGCAAAAAACAAAACUACAGAGUAAAAUGUGCUAGUACACGUAUGAAAAGGGGCCUUAGGAGAUUAUUUUAGUCAAAAAUAUGCCGUAGAAGUGCUCGGCUCCUAAAACUCAACCUACCACAA